rnacentral:lncRNA from 1 species
UGGACUGAUCAUUUGAAUUUGCAGUCCACCGGGAUGCCCUAACUUUUGCCUAAGUCAAUCUUGUUUUCAAGCUUUCGACUUAGCAGCUUUUUAUUUUGCUUUUGAUUUUUUCAUUUCUCAUCUUUUUUGUAUUGGAACAAAUCUUGUGAUAUUUUCUUGCUUGAUUUGUUACAAAGGUCGUGACUGUCUCACUCCUUUUACUGGUAAGGGAUAACCAUUGUGAAUUUGUAAUUCAAUCCUCUUGAGAGGGAUAAGAUAUGAU